AUAGGUGUGUGCCACCAUGCCAAUGGGACGUCAGGGUGAAGCCUACAGCUGUGGCAACCAUCUUGCAGUCAUGACAUGGCUGUCUGAGGACACCAAAGAACACCGGAGAAGAAAGAAAGAGCUGGAGCCCCUGCCGCCAUGGCUGAGAGCUCUGUGCAAUACAGCAGCUGCCCAUCUCCAGGCUUCUUGUAAGGUGGAAAAACCAACUUCAUUUAUCCAUGCUUACGCUGCUAUCAGGUUCUCUAUAACUUGCGACAGAAAGCAAUUUUCACUGACUGAUACAAUGGGCAAUUACUUUUAAAAUUAGGAUGCUUAAGCCUUACAAACACUAACUGGAAAAAACAACAAGACUUGAACUUGAAAUGAGAGUUGCCUUAUUGUUUGUGUCCUUAUAUUAAUAAAAUAUCUAAAAGUAGACUCAGGAAACACAUUAAAAUACUAAUUAACUUACAAUUACUGUCUAGGAUUAUUAGAUUUUAUCAUCUUAUGGAUACUUUUCUGAAUGCAGAAAAGCAUUAGUAAUGCUCAAAUGUAAAGUGUCACAUAUUUCCAAAUACUGUAAUAAAUACAGAUCCUCUGUUUUAACCACCGUUAA